rnacentral:rRNA from 1 species
CCAGACUCCUACGGGAGGCAGCAGUGGGGAAUAUUGCACAAUGGGGGAAACCCUGAUGCAGCGACGCCGCGUGAGUGAAGAAGUAUUUCGGUAUGUAAAGCUCUAUCAGCAGGGAAGAAAAUGACGGUACCUGACUAAGAAGCCCCGGCUAACUCCGUGCCAGCAGCCGCGGUAAUACGGAGGAUGCGAGCGUUAUCCAGAUUUAUUGGGUUUAAAGGGUGCGCAGGCGGCGUGUCAAGCAAGCGGUAAAAUAGCGGGGCUCAACCCCGUCGAGCCGUUUGAACUGGCGCGCUUGAGUUCAGGCGCGGUAGGCGGAAUUCGUGGUGUAGCGGUGAAAUGCAUAGAUAUCACGAAGAACUCCGAUUGCGAAGGCAGCUUACCAGUCUGCGACUGACGCUCAGGCACGAAAGCGUGGGUAUCGAACGGGAUUAGAUACCCGAGUA